rnacentral:lncRNA from 1 species
UUGUAUGACUGAGCUGAGAUCUUUGCUCUAGACAGAGGGAAGAGAAGCAAUUAUUAGGCAUUUAUUCCCUAUGGUAGAGCCACACACUGAUACUGGAAGUUCAACUGAAGCACUGCACAGGUCUUGGACAGGGUUUUUCUGACCUUGGAGGAUGUGAAAGGCCAAUAAAAUGUGGUUGUGUGAGAUGUGUUCCAUCUUCCUGGGGAGCAGAAAAUGCAUCUGAAGGAGGUAGAACCCAGCAAGUUUCUGACCUGUCUGCACUGCAAACAUUUAGGUCUCUUUCAAGGUGGAAAGUAUACUGAUUCUUUUCUUC